GACUCCGCAUGCGCACUGGAGCCUCGGAAUACAGCCAGGACUCUCCCGUCGGAAUGCGCCCCUAAGUUGGGCCAAGCCCAUUCAUUCAGGGGCUCCCGAGCCACGUAGGCGCCAUCCCUGGCCAGAGGGGUUCUGAGGAGGUGGGCAAGGGCAGACACUCUCUCCCGGUCUCAAAUUCGAAAUAGGGACUAGAAGGGAACUUCACGCGAGGCCUCGCAACUGUCGCGAGAAUCAGAACAGGAAAUCUAGGAACCGAGAACACUAAGAGCCCGCGGAUUUUAAACAGGAAAAAGAAAGGGCGGAGCAAACUCUGGCGGAUAGUUGUGAGUAAUCCCUGGUCCUUGGAAUAAGUGUCGACCUGAGACAGAAGGGGAACUGUCAGAGAGCUGCCGGAGACCCUGAAAAAGGCCAGAGACGGGGACUUGUGGGGCUGACGAAUGGAAUCACCCAAGGAGAGGUCUCUGACUCUAACAAAACACCUUGGGGACGGAGCUCCUUGGCUGGGAUACAGAGCAGACAAGUCCGGGAUCUUUUAGUGAAUUGCUGCCGGCUUCUAAGGCCUGGAGCAGAUAUUCAACAACAAACUCCACGGACCUAGAAACUCUCCACUUAUCCUACUAUUGUAGACGGUGGCUUACUUUUAGUCUUCCCUAUGCUCUAAGCUUCUGGUAGUAGGAAUCGUGCCUAACUCACUACUGUAUCUUGUGAACCUAGCCCCGCGCCUGGUGGCACGUCAAAUUCUCGGUAAAUAUUUGUGGAUUAAAUGUGAAAGACUGCCUGAGUGUUUAACCUGGAUUUUCUGAGUCGCUGAUGGAGAACAGUAGGUAGACGGGGAACCAGCGCCCUCUGGUGGGCUUGUGGUUCGUGACGAGAACAUGCUGGAACCGUGCAUCCAGAUGCUUGUAUUGAAGAAGGAAUGAGGUAUAGAAUGUAGUUUUCUUUCCACUGUGAAGCCCUGUGUUCACAAGAUUAUCAUACGUUCACUUUCAGUCACUGACACAUGAAAUAACUGAAGUAUAAUGACAGAAUGAUGAGCUGGAGUGUGGUGGUGCACGCCUGUAGCACCAGCUACUUGGGAGACUGAGGCAGAGAAUCGCUUGAAUCUGGGAGGCAGAGGUUGCAGUGAGCCCAGAUCACGCCACUGCACUCCAGCC
rnacentral:lncRNA from 1 species